rnacentral:rRNA from 1 species
AAAGAUUAAGCCAUGCAUGUCUAAGUAUAAGCAAUCAUACUGUGAAACUGCGAAUGGCUCAUUAAAUCAGUUAUCGUUUAUUUGAUAGUACCUUUACCUGGAUAACCGUGGUAAUUCUAGAGCUAAUACAUGCUAAAAAUCCCGACUUCGGAAGGGAUGUAUUUAUUAGAUAAAAAACCAAUGCCCUUCGGGGCUCCUUGGUGAUUCAUAAUAACUUAACGAAUCGCAUGGCCUUGCGCCGGCGAUGGUUCAUUCAAAUUUCUGCCCUAUCAACUUUCGAUGGUAGGAUAGUGGCCUACCAUGGUCUCAACGGGUAACGGGGAAU